rnacentral:pre_miRNA from 1 species
CGGCAGCUGAGGGGACGGUAGACAGGUGAUGUGCGCUCUGUUCACGCUGCAAAUCACCCGUUUGACUGUCCUCCAGCUGUCG